CAUUGCACAAUGGGGGAAACCCUGAUGCAGCGACGCCGCGUGAGCGAAGAAGUAUUUCGGUAUGUAAAGCUCUAUCAGCAGAGAAGAAGAUGACGGUACCUGACUAAGAAGCUCCGGCUAAAUACGUGCCAGCAGACGCGGUAAUACGUAUGGAGCAAGCGUUAUCCGGAUUUACUGGGUGUAAAGGGAACGGAGGCGGCCUGGCCAGUCUGGUGUGAAAUACCGGGGCCCAACCCCGGGACUGCAUUGGAAGCUGCCAGGCUGGAGUGUCGGAGGGGCAGGCGGAAUUCCUAGUGUAGCGGUGAAAUGCGUAGAUAUUAGGAGGAACACCGGUGGCGAAGGCGGCCUGCUGGACGACAACUGACGCUGAGGCUCGAAAGCGUGGGGAGCAAACAGG
rnacentral:rRNA from 1 species